UGACACAGGUGCUGCAUGGCUGUCGUCAGCUCGUGUCGUGAGAUGUUGGGUUAAGUCCGUAACGAGCGCAACCCUGUCCUUAGUUACCAGCACGUUAUGGUGGGCACUCUAAGGAGACUGCCGGUGACAACCGGAGGAAGGUGGGGAGUGACGUCAAGUCAUCAUGGCCCUUACGGCCUGGGCUACACACGUGCUACAAUGGUCGGUACAAAGGGUUGCCAAGCCGCGAGGUGGAGCUAAUCCCAUAAAACCGAUCGUAGUCCGGAUCGCAGUCUGCAACUCGACUGCGUGAAGUCGGAAUCGCUAGUAAUCGUGAAUCAGAAUGUCACGGUGAAUACGUUCCCGGGCCUU
rnacentral:rRNA from 1 species